CGAGGUGGCAAGCGUUGUCCGGAAUUAUUGGGCGUAAAGCGCGCGCAGGCGGUCCUUUAAGUCUGAUGUGAAAGCCCACGGCUCAACCGUGAGGGUCAUUGGAAACUGGGGGACUUGAGUACAGAAGAGAAGAGUGGAAUUCCACGUGUAGCGGUGAAAUGCGUAGAGAUGUGGAGGAACACCAGUGGCGAAGGCGACUCUUUGGUCUGUAACUGACGCUGAGGCGCGAAAGCGUGGGGAGCAAACAGGAUUAGAUACCCUGGUAGUCCACGCCGUAAACGAUGAGUGCUAGUGUUAGAGGGUUUCCGCCCUUUAGUGCUGCAGCAAACGCAUUAAGCACUCCGCCUGGGGAGUACGGCCGCAAGGCUG
rnacentral:rRNA from 1 species